AAUGCAGGUGACGACAAAAUAGACAGGGACAUCAGACUCCUUUUGGAGAAAGAUGACUUAGUCUAAUGGGAAUCUCUCUGAUGCUAU
rnacentral:snoRNA from 1 species